UCGUAACAAGGUUUCCGUAGGUGAACCUGCGGAAGGAUCAUUACCGAGUGAGGGCCCUCUGGGUCCAACCUCCCACCCGUGUUUAUUUACCUUGUUGCUUCGGCGAGCCUGCCUUUUGGCUGCCGGGGGACGUCAGUCCCCGGGUCCGUGCUCGCCGGAGACACCUUAGAACUCUGUCUGAAGAUUGUAGUCUGAGAUUAAAUAUAAAUUAUUUAAAACUUUCAACAACGGAUCUCUUGGUUCCGGCAUCGAUGAAGAACGCAGCGAAAUGCGAUACGUAAUGUGAAUUGCAGAAUUCAGUGAAUCAUCGAGUCUUUGAACGCACAUUGCGCCCUCUGGUAUUCCGGAGGGCAUGCCUGUCCGAGCGUCAUUGCUGCCCUCAAGCACGGCUUGUGUGUUGGGCCCCGUCCUCCUUCCGGGGGACGGGUCCGAAAGGCAGCGGCGGCACCGCGUCCGGUCCUCAAGCGUAUGGGGCUUUGUCACUCGCUUUGUAGGCCUGGCCGGCGCUUGCCGAUCAACCAAACUUUUUAUCAGGUUGACCUCGGAUCAGGUAGGGAUACCCGCUGAACUUAAGCAUAUCAAUA
rnacentral:rRNA from 1 species